rnacentral:pre_miRNA from 15 species
CGGUGGAACCCGUAGAUCCGAACUUGUGGGGCUGUGGUCACAAGUUCUUGUUUAUGGGUACCUACUGG